CACUUGUUGCUACAGGCACGAAAAAGACCUGGUCUCUGUCCUGAGACUCUCCAGGUGGACUGUGGAGCCUGACAAAAGCACUUGCCAGGCCUGGGGAGAAGGUUAACCUCCUGUUCUCAAUCUUGACAUUAGAGAGUACCAAACUCUUGGGGAAUUUGUAGACCAGUAGAACAGCCGACUGAAGGAACAACAACAAAACAGUGGAGAAGGACAUAGAGUUAUCUACAUUUAUUUACCCAGAAAAUUGUGAGUUUCUGGGAAGGCUUUGGACCUCUGUGACAGACCUCAGACCUCAAGGACACAGAUAACUUGAAAGUUGCAUAGUAAGUUUCCAUAAAGACCACUGGGCCAGACAUAUAAUACAUCGAAGUUCCUGUUGAUAAAGAGUUGCAAAUGUUUACUUCAGUCAGUUAGAUUUUAGGAGGUUGGAUUUG
rnacentral:lncRNA from 1 species